rnacentral:rRNA from 1 species
UACGGAGGGUGCAAGCGUUAUCCGGAUUUACUGGGUUUAAAGGGUGCGUAGGCGGGCCCUUAAGUCAGUGGUGAAAGCUCCGAGCUUAACUCGGAAACUGCCAUUGAUACUAUUGGUCUUGAAUUCGGUCGAGGUUGGCAGAAUGUGUCGUGUAGCGGUGAAAUGCUUAGAUAUGACACAGAACACCGAUUGCGAAGGCAGCUAGCUAGACCGACAUUGACGCUGAGGCACGAAAGCGUGGGGAUCAAACAGG